rnacentral:rRNA from 1 species
GAUGAACGCUGGCGGCGUGCCUAAUACAUGCAAGUCGAGCGAACAGACGAGGCGCUUGCUCCUUUGACGUUAGCGGCGGACGGGUGAGUAACACGUAUGUAACCUACCUAUAAGACUGGGAUAACUUGGGGAAACCGGAUCUAAUACCGUAUAAUAUUUCGAAGCGCAUGGUUCGAUAGUGAAAUAUGGCGUUGCUAUCACUUAUAGCUGGACCUCCGCCGUAUUAGCUAGUUGUUAAGGUAACGGCUUACGAAGGGAACUAUUGGUAUACGACGUGCGUGACUGAUAGCCCACACGGGAACUGAGACACGGUCAAGAGUACUGAGGGAGGCCGCAGACGGGAACCGGACGCAAUGGGGGGAAACCUGGCGGAGCAGCGCCGAGUGAGUGAUGAAGGCCUUCGGAGCGUAAAACCCUGUUAUUAGGGAAGAACAAACGUGUACGUAACUGUGCACGUAUUGACGGUACCUAAUCAGAAAGCCCCGGCUAACUACGUG